rnacentral:rRNA from 1 species
UACGUAGGGUGCGAGCGUUAAUCGGAAUCAUUGGGCGUAAAGCGUACGCAGGCUGUUCGUUAAGUCGGGUGUGAAAGCCCAGGGCUCAACCCUGGAAUGGCGCCCGAAACUGGCGAGCUUGAGUGCGGGAGAGGGAAGCGGAAUUCCUGGUGUAGAGGUGAAAUUCGUAGAUAUCAGGAGGAACACCGGUGGCGAAAGCGGCUUCCUGGCCCGACACUGACGCUCAUGUACGAAAGCGUGGGGAGCAAACAGG